UAUCUCUGUAGAGUCUGCAUAUCAAUAAGCGGAGGAAAAGAAACUAACAAGGAUUCCCUUAGUAACGGCGAGUGAAGCGGGAAGAGCUCAAAUUUGAAAUCUUCAAGGUUCUACCUUGACGAAUUGUAGUUUAAAGAAGUGUUUUCUGUUAGAUGAGUAGCAAAAGUUCCUUGGAAUGGGACAUCAUAGAGGGUGAGAAUCCCGUAUUUGGUUAUUCAUUCUAGCUUUGUGAUACACUUUCAAAGAGUCGGAUUGUUUGGGAAUGCAGUCCAAAAUGGGUGGUAAAUUUCAUCUAAAGCUAAAUAUUGGCGAGAGACCGAUAGCGAACAAGUACCGUGAGGGAAAGAUGAAAAGAACUUUGAAAAGAGAGUUAAACAGUACGUGAAAUUGUCAAAAGGGAAGCGUUUGACACCAGUGUUGUUUUUCCAAAAUCAAUUACGAAUGGCUUGAUUUUGUGUUGUAUUGACCUUAUCAGCUUUCUUCACUUUUUUCGAGUCUUUCUUAAUGCACUUUUCGGUUAACAAGUCAACAUCAAUUUCUUUUGUUGUAAAAGAGUAUUCGGAAGGUGGCUUUCUUUUCGGAGAAAGUGUUUAUAGCCCUAUACUUCUACAAUCGGAGAGAUUGAGGUCUGCAGCGUAGAUCCUUCGGGGUUAGAUACACUUGUGCUAAGUUGUAGCUUUUCAUAGACAACUUGUUGACUAUGUUUAGUCAUGCGGCUUACUCGCUUGUGCUAUUUUACCUACGCUUAGGAUGUUGAACUACUGAGACAUAGA
rnacentral:rRNA from 1 species